rnacentral:rRNA from 1 species
ACUAAGCGUACACGGUGGAUGCCCUGGCAGUCAGAGGCGAUGAAGGACGUGCUAAUCUGCGAUAAGCGUCGGUAAGGUGAUAUGAACCGUUAUAACCGGCGAUUUCCGAAUGGGGAAACCCAGUGUGAUUCGUCACACUAUCAUUAACUGAAUCCAUAGGUUAAUGAGGCGAACCGGGGGAACUGAAACAUCUAAGUACCCCGAGGAAAAGAAAUCAACCGAGAUUCCCCCAGUAGCGGCGAGCGAACGGGGAGCAGCCCAGAGCCUGAAUCAGUGUGUGUGUUAGUGGAAGCGUCUGGAAAGGCGCGCGAUACAGGGUGACAGCCCCGUACACAAAAAUGCACAUACUGUGAGCUCGAUGAGUAGGGCGGGACACGUGGUAUCCUGUCUGAAUAUGGGGGGACCAUCCUCCAAGGCUAAAUACUCCUGACUGACCGAUAGUGAACCAGUACCGUGAGGGAAAGGCGAAAAGAACCCCGGCGAGGGGAGUGAAAAAGAACCUGAAACCGUGUACGUACAAGCAGUGGGAGCACGCUUCGGCGUGUGACUGCGUACCUUUUGUAUAAUGGGUCAGCGACUUAUAUUCUGUAGCAAGGUUAACCGAAUAGGGGAGCCGAAGGGAAACCGAGUCUUAACUGGGCGUUAAGUUGCAGGGUAUAGACCCGAAACCCGGUGAUCUAGCCAUGGGCAGGUUGAAGGUUGGGUAACACUAACUGGAGGACCGAACCGACUAAUGUUGAAAAAUUAGCGGAUGACUUGUGGCUGGGGGUGAAAGGCCAAUCAAACCGGGAGAUAGCUGGUUCUCCCCGAAAGCUAUUUAGGUAGCGCCUCGUGAAUUCAUCUCCGGGGGUAGAGCACUGUUUCGGCAAGGGGGUCAUCCCGACUUACCAACCCGAUGCAAACUGCGAAUACCGGAGAAUGUUAUCACGGGAGACACACGGCGGGUGCUAACGUCCGUCGUGAAGAGGGAAACAACCCAGACCGCCAGCUAAGGUCCCAAAGUCAUGGUUAAGUGGGAAACGAUGUGGGAAGGCCCAGACAGCCAGGAUGUUGGCUUAGAAGCAGCCAUCAUUUAAAGAAAGCGUAAUAGCUCACUGGUCGAGUCGGCCUGCGCGGAAGAUGUAACGGGGCUAAACCAUGCACCGAAGCUGCGGCAGCGACACUAUGUGUUGUUGGGUAGGGGAGCGUUCUGUAAGCCUGCGAAGGUGUACUGUGAGGUAUGCUGGAGGUAUCAGAAGUGCGAAUGCUGACAUAAGUAACGAUAAAGCGGGUGAAAAGCCCGCUCGCCGGAAGACCAAGGGUUCCUGUCCAACGUUAAUCGGGGCAGGGUGAGUCGACCCCUAAGGCGAGGCCGAAAGGCGUAGUCGAUGGGAAACAGGUUAAUAUUCCUGUACUUGGUGUUACUGCGAAGGGGGGACGGAGAAGGCUAUGUUGGCCGGGCGACGGUUGUCCCGGUUUAAGCGUGUAGGCUGGUUUUCCAGGCAAAUCCGGAAAAUCAAGGCUGAGGCGUGAUGACGAGGCACUACGGUGCUGAAGCAACAAAUGCCCUGCUUCCAGGAAAAGCCUCUAAGCAUCAGGUAACAUCAAAUCGUACCCCAAACCGACACAGGUGGUCAGGUAGAGAAUACCAAGGCGCUUGAGAGAACUCGGGUGAAGGAACUAGGCAAAAUGGUGCCGUAACUUCGGGAGAAGGCACGCUGAUAUGUAGGUGAAGUCCCUCGCGGAUGGAGCUGAAAUCAGUCGAAGAUACCAGCUGGCUGCAACUGUUUAUUAAAAACACAGCACUGUGCAAACACGAAAGUGGACGUAUACGGUGUGACGCCUGCCCGGUGCCGGAAGGUUAAUUGAUGGGGUUAGCGGUAACGCGAAGCUCUUGAUCGAAGCCCCGGUAAACGGCGGCCGUAACUAUAACGGUCCUAAGGUAGCGAAAUUCCUUGUCGGGUAAGUUCCGACCUGCACGAAUGGCGUAAUGAUGGCCAGGCUGUCUCCACCCGAGACUCAGUGAAAUUGAACUCGCUGUGAAGAUGCAGUGUACCCGCGGCAAGACGGAAAGACCCCGUGAACCUUUACUAUAGCUUGACACUGAACAUUGAGCCUUGAUGUGUAGGAUAGGUGGGAGGCUUUGAAGUGUGGACGCCAGUCUGCAUGGAGCCGACCUUGAAAUACCACCCUUUAAUGUUUGAUGUUCUAACGUUGGCCCCUGAUCGGGGUUGCGGACAGUGUCUGGUGGGUAGUUUGACUGGGGCGGUCUCCUCCUAAAGAGUAACGGAGGAGCACGAAGGUUGGCUAAUCCUGGUCGGACAUCAGGAGGUUAGUGCAAUGGCAUAAGCCAGCUUGACUGCGAGCGUGACGGCGCGAGCAGGUGCGAAAGCAGGUCAUAGUGAUCCGGUGGUUCUGAAUGGAAGGGCCAUCGCUCAACGGAUAAAAGGUACUCCGGGGAUAACAGGCUGAUACCGCCCAAGAGUUCAUAUCGACGGCGGUGUUUGGCACCUCGAUGUCGGCUCAUCACAUCCUGGGGCUGAAGUAGGUCCCAAGGGUAUGGCUGUUCGCCAUUUAAAGUGGUACGCGAGCUGGGUUUAGAACGUCGUGAGACAGUUCGGUCCCUAUCUGCCGUGGGCGCUGGAGAACUGAGGGGGGCUGCUCCUAGUACGAGAGGACCGGAGUGGACGCAUCACUGGUGUUCGGGUUGUCAUGCCAAUGGCACUGCCCGGUAGCUAAAUGCGGAAGAGAUAAGUGCUGAAAGCAUCUAAGCACGAAACUUGCCCCGAGAUGAGUUCUCCCUGACUCCUUGAGAGUCCUGAAGGAACGUUGAAGACGACGACGUUGAUAGGCCGGGUGUGUAAGCGCAGCGAUGCGUUGAGCUAACCGGUACUAAUGAACCGUGAGGCUUAACC